rnacentral:rRNA from 1 species
CCUGCACGAAUGGCGUAAUGAUGGCCAGGCUGUCUCCACCCGAGACUCAGUGAAAUUGAACUCGCUGUGAAGAUGCAGUGUACCCGCGGCAAGACGGAAAGACCCCGUGAACCUUUACUAUAGCUUGACACUGAACAUUGAGCCUUGAUGUGUAGGAUAGGUGGGAGGCUUUGAAGUGUGGACGCCAGUCUGCAUGGAGCCGACCUUGAAAUACCACCCUUUAAUGUUUGAUGUUCUAACGUUGGCCCGUAAUCCGGGUUGCGGACAGUGUCUGGUGGGUAGUUUGACUGGGGCGGUCUCCUCCUAAAGAGUAACGGAGGAGCACGAAGGUUGGCUAAUCCUGGUCGGACAUCAGGAGGUUAGUGCAAUGGCAUAAGCCAGCUUGACUGCGAGCGUGACGGCGCGAGCAGGUGCGAAAGCAGGUCAUAGUGAUCCGGUGGUUCUGAAUGGAAGGGCCAUCGCUCAACGGAUAAAAGGUACUCCGGGGAUAACAGGCUGAUACCGCCCAAGAGUUCAUAUCGACGGCGGUGUUUGGCACCUCGAUGUCGGCUCAUCACAUCCUGGGGCUGAAGUAGGUCCCAAGGGUAUGGCUGUUCGCCAUUUAAAGUGGUACGCGAGCUGGGUUUAGAACGUCGUGAGACAGUUCGGUCCCUAUCUGCCGUGGGCGCUGGAGAACUGAGGGGGGCUGCUCCUAGUACGAGAGGACCGGAGUGGACGCAUCACUGGUGUUCGGGUUGUCAUGCCAAUGGCACUGCCCGGUAGCUAAAUGCGGAAGAGAUAAGUGCUGAAAGCAUCUAAGCACGAAACUUGCCCCGAGAUG